UUGCUUUGAAUCUUCUAAUACAGACGAUUUUUUCAGGAAAAGAUUUUGCUUUAAUCAAAAGAAUACUCACAAAAAAAAAACUUAUCAAUGAAAUUCAAGGAAUAAUUUUGUGAACUUGUGGGCUACCAUUACAUUUCAUUCCUCACAAGCAAAGCAAAGCAAAACAAUCAGUUAAUUACCGUCACUAUUACUGCACCACUGUGUGAAGUUCCAACAAAAUCAACUCCACCACACCAAAAUAUUUUCUUGAUGUUAACACUCAGUUUAAAAAAUAGAAACUAUUACCCAUUUCAUUUCAUGAGCUGAAUAAUUCAUUUUAUCUUUCAAUUGCUUAUAUCCAUCUUGAAUUCCUAACAGAAAAAAAAAACGAAUUUCUCUUCGAAUCACCCAACUUACCCUUCAAUUACUUAUACUCAAAUCUUGAAUUCCUACAAGGAGCAUGAAUUUAUCUUUAAAUUAGGUUUAUCAAAUUCGGAUACUUGAAAAUUUUAUGGACAUCGAUGAUUUACUUGAUACAA
rnacentral:lncRNA from 1 species